rnacentral:rRNA from 1 species
UACGUAGGGUGCAAGCGUUGUCCGGAAUUAUUGGGCGUAAAGAGCUCGUAGGCGGUUUGUCGCGUCUGCUGUGAAAACUGGAGGCUCAACCUCCAGCCUGCAGUGGGUACGGGCAGACUAGAGUGCGGUAGGGGAGAUUGGAAUUCCUGGUGUAGCGGUGGAAUGCGCAGAUAUCAGGAGGAACACCGAUGGCGAAGGCAGAGUCUCGGGCCGUAACUGACGCUGAGGAGCGAAAGCGUGGGGAGCGAACAGG